rnacentral:rRNA from 1 species
UACGGAGGGAGCUAGCGUUAUUCGGAAUUACUGGGCGUAAAGCGCACGUAGGCGGCUUUGUAAGUUAGAGGUGAAAGCCUGGAGCUCAACUCCAGAAUUGCCUUUAAGACUGCAUCGCUUGAAUCCAGGAGAGGUGAGUGGAAUUCCGAGUGUAGAGGUGAAAAUUCGUAGAUAUUCGGAAGAACACCAGUGGCGAAGGCGGCUCACUGGACUGGUAUUGACGCUGAGGUGCGAAAGCGUGGGGAGCAACAGG